UACGUAGGGUGCAAGCGUUGUCCGGAAUUAUUGGGCGUAAAGAGCUCGUAGGCGGUCAGUCGCGUCUGCUGUGAAAACUCGGAGCUCAACUCCGAGCCUGCGUUCGAUACUGGACGGCUAGAGUCUGGUAGGGGGAUCUGGAAUUCCUGGUGUAGCGGUGGAAUGCGCAGAUAUCAGGAGGAACACCGGUGGCGAAGGCGGGAUCCUGGGCCAGUACUGACGCUGAGGAGCGAAAGCGUGGGGAGCAAACAGG
rnacentral:rRNA from 1 species